rnacentral:tRNA from 1 species
GCGCCUGUAGCUCAGUCGGACAGAGCAACGGACUUCUAAUCCGUCGGUCGCAGGUUCGAAUCCUGCCAGGCGCGCCA